GCUGUUGUAGCUCAGCUGGUAGAGCAACUGAUUCGUAAUCAGUAGGUCGGAGGUUCGACUCCUCUCAACAGCACCA
rnacentral:tRNA from 1 species